AUGUCCACAUGUGUACUACCUAAUGAGCUGGUGGUGGACAUCCUGUCUCGACUGCCGUUGAAGUCCUUGUGCCGCUUCAAAUGUGUUUGCAAGUCUUGGCUUGCCUUCUCAUCUCAUCCAUAUUACCGACAAAAGUUCCCAAGAACUCCCACUGGUCUCUUGUACCAGAAAUUUGAGCGUGGCAGACUUGCCUCCUCUCUUGGCAGUGGCAUCCAUCUCGCCAGACUUCCCUCAAGUGACAAGGAAAUUGACACAACACUUAGUUUUGUGCCAUGUUAUAAGUACCCAAUACUGCUUCGGGGUUGCUGCAAUGGCCUACUUCUUUGUUAUCAGAAAAAUAGAAUUGAAGAAAUUUCCAACGCUAUUGUGUGCAAUCCAGCAACUCAAGAGUGGAUGGCACUUCCAGAUACUGAACCUGGACCAUCGGUCUUUUCGGCUAAUCUCAAGUUGUGUUUUGAUCCAUUAUGGUCUCAACACUUCUGUGUCUUCAAAUUUCAGUCGAGCGCGGUCCUGAACCCUCAUAUAAUUGGGACCUCCACUGAAGUUAAGGUAUUUUUCUCUGAGGAUUCCACGUGGUCUAGUUGUCUUUGGCGGUCUAGUUGUCUUUGGGAAUAUGGAGAUGGAUUUGAAGGUGAUUCGCUCUUUGUAAAUGGGGUGUUGUACGUGAAGCACCUAUUGGCUCAUAAAAUUCUGGCGCUUGACGCACCUGAUAGAAGUACGGAGUGGCUCGAUCAUAGGAUCAUUCAGCUGCCAGGAUAUCCGAAUAGGUCCAACAUGACUUUCUGUUCUAAUGGAUGUAUUGGUCAGUCUUCGGGUGUCUUAUGCUACGCGAAACAAGAAUUUGAUGGCUGCGCAAUACGGAUUUGGAGUUUGGAAGUCCCUGAUGGGUGGGCGGUGAGGCAUCGUGUAAGUAUGAUUGAUAUAUUUGGCAGAGACAUUUUUCUCCGCACUGACUGUGAAGGAUACUGGCUUUUCGAAUAUAAAAUCAUGGCCGUUGACCUAGAGAGGGAGCUGGUUAUCCUUGAGGACAAAAUUGGUAAUAAGAUCAUCUCAGCUAGCAUCAGUACUGGUAAACGCUCGCAGUCCCAAAGGAUUCCAAGAAGCUUCACCCGAAAAUAUCGCAGCCUAUUCUAUGUGCCAUACUAUGGCAAAAUUCCAGCUUUAGCAGUUAAGGGUCAGAGGAUGAAUCAUUCUAUGUUUUACAAUUUAUGGCAUCAGUGCUGUACUUUCCUUUUUGAGUUGGAUUAA
rnacentral:rRNA from 1 species